CUUGCUUCUCUUGAGAGCGGCGGACGGGUGAGUAAUGCCUAGGAAUCUGCCUGGUAGUGGGGGAUAACGUUCGGAAACGGACGCUAAUACCGCAUACGUCCUACGGGAGAAAGCAGGGGACCUUCGGGCCUUGCGCUAUCAGAUGAGCCUAGGUCGGAUUAGCUAGUUGGUGGGGUAAUGGCUCACCAAGGCGACGAUCCGUAACUGGUCUGAGAGGAUGAUCAGUCACACUGGAACUGAGACACGGUCCAGACUCCUACGGGAGGCAGCAGUGGGGAAUAUUGGACAAUGGGCGAAAGCCUGAUCCAGCCAUGCCGCGUGUGUGAAGAAGGUCUUCGGAUUGUAAAGCACUUUAAGUUGGGAGGAAGGGUUGUAGAUUAAUACUCUGCAAUUUUGACGUUACCGACAGAAUAAGCACCGGCUAACUCUGUGCCAGCAGCCGCGGUAAUACAGAGGGUGCAAGCGUUAAUCGGAAUUACUGGGCGUAAAGCGCGCGUAGGUGGUUUGUUAAGUUGGAUGUGAAAUCCCCGGGCUCAACCUGGGAACUGCAUUCAAAACUGACUGACUAGAGUAUGGUAGAGGGUGGUGGAAUUUCCUAUGUAGCGGUGAAAUGCGUAGAUAUAGGAAGGAACACCAGUGGCGAAAGCGACCACCUGGACUAAUACUGACACUGA
rnacentral:rRNA from 1 species